ACGGGAGGCAGCAGUGAGGAAUAUUGGUCAAUGGGCGGAAGCCUGAACCAGCCAAGUCGCGUGAAGGAUGAAGGUAUUAUGUAUUGUAAACUUCUUUAGCCAGGGGGCAAUAAGGCGUAUGUAUACGCCGAUGAGAGUACCUGGAGAAUAAGGAUCGGCUAACUCCGUGCCAGCAGCCGCGGUAAUACGGAGGAUCCGAGCGUUAUCCGGAUUUAUUGGGUUUAAAGGGAGCGCAGGCGGAGAUGUAAGCCAGCCGUCAAAUCGUGGUGCUCAACGCCAUCCAGCGGUUGGAACUGCAUCCCUUGAGUGCACUAGAGGAAGGUGGAAUUCGUGGUGUAGCGGUGAAAUGCAUAGAUAUCACGAAGAACUCCGAUUGCGAAGGCAGCCUUCUGGGGUGUUACUGACGCUCAUGCUCGAAGGUGCGGGUAUCAAACAGGAUUAGAUACCCUGGUA
rnacentral:rRNA from 1 species